AACGCACAUUGCGCCUCCCCUUACCGGGAGGCAUGCCUGUCUGAGCGUCAUUUAAAUCCAUAAAUCGUGUCCGAUUUGUGUUGGGCUCUGCACCCAUGUGCAUUGCCUUGAAUCCCUGGGUCUUGAUUUGCGGACGAGUUCCUGUUGGACUUACCGUGAAGUUGGACCGAGACUGAGGCCCCACAAGGGGGCUCAUCUGAAUCUUUGACCUCAGAUCAGGUAGGAAGACCGCCUGAACUUAA
rnacentral:misc_RNA from 1 species